UACGUAGGGGGCUAGCGUUGUCCGGAAUCAUUGGGCGUAAAGAGCGUGUAGGCGGCCCGGUAAGUCCGCUGUAAAAGUCAAAGGCUCAACCUUUGAAUGUCAGUGGAUACUGCCGGGCUAGAGUCCGGAAGAGGCGAGUGGAACUCCUGGUGUAGCGGUGGAAUGCGCAGAUAUCAGGAAGAACACCAACGGCGAAGGCAGCUCGCUAGGACGGUACUGACGCUGAGACGCGAAAGCGUGGGGAUCAAACAGG
rnacentral:rRNA from 1 species